CUCACUUCUUAAAGCGCUGCCCUUUGCUGCGACCGCCAUAUUUCUUCUUUUCCCGAGGUGGAAGCUUAUUAAUAUUGGAUUUCUUUGCCCGUGUGGUUCUUUCUGGAACAUUUUCCAGACCCCAACCAUGCCUUAUGGCAUAUUUCUUGGAAAAAAUUACACCAAAAAUUCAUAAAAUAUUUUUAAAAACCUAAACUUUCUUCUAGUAUUUUCUUGACACCUUCUCAGUAUUUUACAGAUACUUGGGGCUAUUUUAAGGCAAUUUUCCAUUUUAAAGGACGUUUUCUUUGGAAUGAUUUUUGGUUGACUCCUCUGGUUUUUUGUGGUUUCUUUUUCUUUUUCUCCUCCUUUUCUAUAUUUUUUGCCCAUCGGGGCUGUGGAUACCUGGUUUUAGUGAGUAUAUAGCUAGGUGGAUAGAUAUAUUAUUAUUGUUAUUAUUUUUUACCCAACGGGGUCAUGGAUACCUGCCUUUUAUUUUAUUUUUUUUAAACUUGCCCAUCGGGGCCACGGAUACCUGCUUUUAAUUUUUUUUUCCCCCUUAGCCCAUCGGGGCCUCGGAUACCUGCUGUGUACCCCCUCUCUCCCUAACCUUCUGGCCCAUCGGGGCAAUGGAUACCUGCCUCUUUUUUUUUUUGUUUUUUUGCCCAUCGGGGCCUUGGAUACCUGCUCUAAUUUUUUUUUUUCCUUGCCCAUCGGGGCCUCGGAUACCUGCUUUAAUUUUUUUUUCCUUGCCCAUCGGGGCCGCGGAUACCUGCUUAGAUUUUUGUUUUAUACCACCCAUCGGGGCUUUAUAUGGUUGGAAAAGUGUUGGGUUUUGUGGUUCCUUGUACUAUCUGGAAUGUCUACAAAAUUUUGCUGCUAAUCGUUUGUGUUGUGUGAGUGGACCUACGGCUUUGGUUGGGAGAUGACUUUGCAGUUAGGCUAGAGGGUUAGUUAGGCUGGGGAGGAAAGAUGGCGGCCACUUCAGAUUUGCCGCCCAGCUUGGCUGAGGGGUAGCUGUGCUAAGUAUCACUAGGAAGGUAAGAUGAAUAAUGUGACAAGCAAAGGAAAUGGUAUGCAUUGCAUGAGUUAAAUGUUUUGAAUGAGCUGACUUGGGUCAUGUUAGGAGCUUGGCAUGAAUUGUGGUAUCAUGAGGUGGGAAAACAUAGGAUCAUCCUAUGUCAUAUUACAAGGGUCUAAUGGAAAAUGAGCGGGAGAAGAAUUAGGCGCAGUGUUCAAAAUGGCGAUUUUGACCUUGCAGCAUUGCUUAGCAUGGCUCUCUGCUUUGUUAGAGUGUUCAAAAUGGCGGAUCCAUUUUGCCGCAGUGUUCCAGUGGCGGGAAGCCACAUCAUGGGUGUCUUUGUUCUAGUGUGCAGCAUGGCGGUAGAAAUAUUCUGUUACAUAGUAGAAGAUGGCCGCUUAAGUACUUGCCGCAGUCUAAAACAUGGCGGGCUUUUGUCUCUGCCGUGUGCAUUUCCUGAUAGGUUUUGCUGCAGGGACAAUAUGGCUGACCUUGUCAUGUGGAUAUCAUGGCAGUUUGUCACGUGGAUAUCGUGGCAGGGGUGUUUGACCGUUACAUUCUUGGCGGGCUUUGCAUCAGGAGGGCCUGCCGCAUUGUUAAAGAUGGCGUACUUUGCCGCGGAAAAAGUGAAAGGAGGGAUUGGCAGCGUUAGAUUGCCGCGUGCCCCACCCAAUCAGAAAGGGUGGUAGAAUUGGUCACAGCCAGUUAGUGGAGGAUGGAGUUAGAUGAGUUAGCAUAGCACCUCACUGCCGUCUCUAAUCAGCCAGUCAGGACUGGCCACAUUUGUACUAAUCUCAGUGGGUGGUACCAAAGUCUUUCCAAGGACAUUUGGCCUUUCCACUUCCUCCCUCCCUCUCACUGGCUCCCUCCCCUCCCUCACUGCCACUUGCAGUGCUGGAUAUUAGGUUGUGCAGGCAGAACCUUACGCCAUUCCUCUGCAUUGGUGCCGUGGCCAAAGCCCUUCCCCCACUUCCCCCUCCCCCGCCCCCUGCUCUUCUGCGCUGUGGCCAGGGGCAGUGCUCCAUGCCUGCCUAAGUGUGAACUUGGCGGUGAGUCGUGGCAAGGACCAGAAUGGAUCGCAGAUGAUCGUUGGCCAACUGUUGGCAGAAGAGGAAUCCCUGCCUUCCUCAAGAGGAACACCUACCCCGUGGCUAAUACUGGGGUCGGAUUUUGAUUUCUAUUUAUUUAUUGGAUGUCAGUCGUACAUAGUUUGAUUAUGUGGUUUGCUAGUGUUUGAUUUCAGCCUUAAGUGACUAGUAUGGAAAUGUAUUUAGGGGCUUUAUUUGUAGAAUUCAUUUUAAUUACACUUAAUGGGUUUUCAUAUUUGGAUUCCUUUAAAAUUCCUUAAAAUUUUCAAUUUCUUUUUACAAACCCCUCAACCUUUUUUUUGUAUUUAGAUAUUCAAAGUCAAAUAAUAUGCCAUUAAGAGUUUUUUUAAACUAUUUUUUUUACUUUGAAAUUGACUUCAUAAACUACUUCCCUUUGGAUUUUUGAAGAGUCUUAUAGCAUAGAAGUAAUUAAUUAAAAAUUUAACGUUAUGACCGAAUGUGAAAAGGAAUAUUUGAAGGUUCACUCAGGUUCAGGCCUUGCUUUGUCCGCACUCUUAAUGCUGCACUCAUUGACUAAUGAUCCACAAACCUGCAGGAAACCAAUUGCUGUGAAUUUGCUUCUUCUAUUUGAAUGUAUUAUAUUGGAGAAUUAUUGUUCAUAAUUUCAAUUUUCUGUGGUCCCCUGCCUCCACAGCCCCUAGCUCCUCCUCAGCCCUGUUCCCAGCAAUCCCCUUUCUGGCCCCAGUCCCUGCCCUGGCCCCAGCCCCUGCCCCAGCCCCAGCCCCAGCCCCAGCCCCAGCCCCAGCCCCAGCCCGGCCUGGCCCCUGCCCCAGCCCCAGUCUCUGGCCCAGCCCCAGCCCCAGCCCCAGCCCCAGCCCCAGCCCCAGCCCAGCCUCAGUCCUGUUUCUGCUUAAAGCCAGUGCAAUUUCUGUUGAUUCAGUGAAAAAAAUAAGUUGUCCAUUGCUCAUCCAUUAGACUGGGAUACCCUCUCUACCUCUAGCAUUCCUGAUCUUGAGUGCUGGCUAUCCAAGUCACCAUUUUCAGUUAAUCUACAGAAUCCCAUUUGUCCCUUGGCCCAUGUUAAAAAAAAGAAUCCAUUCAUCCUUUGCAUUAAUGUUAAGAAACAUUAACUAACUGAGAGCUUCAUAUCAGACAAUUAUUGCCCAUGAGUCUAGUUACUCAUAAUCUUCUCAAUCCCAUGUCAAUAACGGAGAAACCAUUCCUCUGUCAUUGCUGCAGUCCUCACAAUCCUAGUUUUCUGGACGGUGCAUAUUUACUGAGCUGACCACCUAAACUCUUCGUACUGAGUGAAGUUGCAAUUGCCCAUAACCCUGCCUAUUGGAUUAGAUUCCAGUCCAAAACCCUCUUGCAUUCAGCAAAGGGCACAAAAAACCCCAAUUUUUUUUUAAUGUGCUCAGUCCCAGUUGUCAUAGCCUUGUCCAUUAAACACAGGCAUCCUACCAGUUUUGUCCUGCUUCUGGGGAGUCCUGUUCUUGUACAAUUAAAGUACCAAAUUGUAAUUUCUGUUUCCCCCAUUAACCAAUGAUCCUCCAUCCUAUUUGCAUUGCUCUUAGGCAUUGCUGAUUACCUGAGACCAUGUUCCUUGAAUUAUUAAUGUGUAGAAUCCCAAUUGUUCAUUACAUAGGUCCUUUGCAACUUUUUUGCACUGUAGCAGAAGUGCUCAUCUUAAAAGUCACUUACUUUGGAAUAUUAAUGGAUUCAGUUAUUGUUGAUCACGGUCCUGCUUAACAGGUAAGAUCCACCCAUGCUCUUUUCAUUGCCCCUAUGUAGUUCGGACUACCUGCCACCUUGGGUUAAUAUAUAAAAUUCUCAUUUCCCAUGAUCCUAUCCAUUAGUCUAGGAUAGCUCUUAUCUCGAUGGCCAUUUCUUCUGAGUUCUGAUUACCCAAAGUCCCUUCUCUUAUUAAAAAAUUGAUGUGCAUAAUUGUGUGUAUCCAUGGUCCCAUGCAAUAAAAAAUGAAACCCCACACUUGGUGGAAUAUUGCUGGGUCAUGCAGAUUAUUCAAGAACUCAGCUCUUGGACAGUUAAUUUGCAUAGUUGCAGUUGUCCAGAGUCCUGUCUGUUUUAAUGGGCCAUUGCUAUCCUAUUUGCAAGCUACAUGGGUUGAACUCUCAAGGGCCCUCCUCUUGAAUUUAUAAUGUCCAUAAUUGCUUUUGUCCCUGUCCUGUAAACUAGUCACACUGGCCCACUUUGUCUUUGACCAGGGCACCCUUACUACUUAAGAAGUCUGAACUAGAACAGUUUAUAUGCACAAACCUAAUUGAUUACACCUCGGGUUUUUGUAUCAGGAACUCUGCAUCAUCUUUACUGCUGAAAGGGUGCUGAUUAAGUAAGGCCAUUUCCUAAAAUUGUUCACUUGCAAAACUGGAAUCCCUAGGGACUCUUUCCUUUUAACUAGAAGCCCAUCCCCAACUAACUGCCUUUGCAUUACAGCAGAGGAUACUUGGGGCAGUUAAUGGGCUUGAUUAUAGAGACCCUUUGGCUGGUUUAAUAUCCACUCCCCUACUGAAUGAUUUGCAUUACCACAGGCAGUACAAAGGAAUGAUAAUGGGUUUAUACAGCUACAGUCCCUUAUGUUAACCUAGAAACCCAUCCUCACCUCUCUGUAUGAGUGCAUAGGGUACUUGGGACUGUUAAAGAACUAUAUUGCAGCUACAGUUCCUUUUGUUAGUCUAGAAUCUGUUCCCUUCCUGCUUGAUUUGCAUUACCACAAAGGGUACAAGGGACUGUUAAUGUGCUUAAGUGGAGUUACAGUCCUUUAAGUUAACCUACGAUUCCAUUAACACCUAACUCUCUUUUUAUUAAUGCACAGCGUAUGUGGGACUUAUUCCUGAGCUUAAUUGCACUACUGUCCCUUUUGUUAGUCUAGAAUUCCAUCACUCUACUCAGUUUGCAUUACUCUAGAGUGUACCAGAGACUGUUGACAUGCUUUUAAAUGCAUCUGCAGUCUCUAUGUUUACCUAUGAUCCCAUUCCCAACUAAAUCUCUUUGUAAGACUGCAGUGGAUACUAGGGACUGUCAAAAGGCUCUGUUAGAGUUACAGUCCCCUCAGUAAAGACUCCCAUGCCCUCCUACUUUAUUUGCAUUACGAAAAGGGGGACAAUGGACUUGUAAUGGGCUUUAUUACAGUUACCAUUCCUUCAGUUAAACUGCAAUCAGUUCCUUUCUUACUGAAUUUGCAUUACCACAGAGGGUUCAGGGACUGUUAAUGUGCUUAAAGGCUACUGCAGUCCUUAUGUUAACCUAGGAUUCCAUCACCAACUAUCUCCCUUUCAUUACUGCAGAGCCUACAUAUGACUUGUUAAUGGCUUUAACUAUACUGCUGUCCCUUAUCUUUGGUGGGUAGUCCAUGUGUGCAGUGGUGUCCGACUCUGGUGACCCCAUGUACUGUAGCCUGCCAGGCUCCUUUGUCCAUAGGAUUCUCCAGGCAAGAAUACUUAAGGGGGUUGCCAUGCUCUCCUUCAGGGGCUCUUUCCCACCCAGGGAUCAAACCUGCAUCUCUUAGAUCUGCAUUGGCAAGUGGGUUCUUUACCACUAGCCUUGGACCCCAUCCCCUCCUAAAUCCGUUUACAUUACCAAAGACUACACAAAGGACUGUCAAUGUGCUUAGAUGCAACUACAGUCCUCCUCCCCACUUUUUAAACCUAGGAUCCCAUCCCCCACCUAACUCCCUUUUCCUGACUGCAGAUUACCUGGGACGGUUCCUGUUCUUAAAAGUAGCUAGUUCCUUCUCUGAGUCUAGAUUUCCAUCCACUCCUACGUGGUUUGCAGUAACACAGGAUACAUAGACUGUUAAUGUGCUUAAAAGCAGCUACAAUCUCUUCUAUUAAAACAGGAUUCUGUCCCCAGCUAACUAUUUCAGGACUGCAGAGGGUGUUUGGGACUGGUAAUGCACUUACCUGCCUAUACAGUCUCAUCUGUUGGCCUACUUUCCCAAGAUCUCCUACUAAUUUGCAUUAUAAAGGAGGGUAUAAGGGACUGUUAAUGUGCUUUACUGCAGCCACAGUCCCUUUUGUUAAUUUAAAAUCAUUUUUGUUCCUACCGGAUUUGUGUUACCACAUAAAGUAACUGGGACUGUUAACGUGCUUAAAUCCAGCUACACUCCUUUCUAUUAACCUAGGAUCCCAUCGUCACCUAACUCCCUUUGUAUUACUGAAGAGCCUACAGGGACUUGUUAAUGGGCUUAAAUGCACUGCUGUCCUUUCUGUUGAGUCUAGAACCCCAUUUCUCCUAGUCAAUUUGCAUUACCCCAGAGUGUACAAGAGACUUGCUGUGCUUAAAUGCAUCUGCAUGCAUCUGUCUGUUAUGUUUACCUGGGACUGACCCUAUUCCCACCUAAGUCUUUUUUAAUGAGAGGGUACUUGAGCUUAACUGGAGUUUCAGUCCCUUCUCUUAACCUAGGGUCAGUUUCUUUCUUACUGAAUUUGUAGUACCACAUAGAGUAACCAAGACUGUUAAGGUGCUUAAAUGCAUUUACAGUCUUUUAUACUUACCUACUUACCUGUGUUCGUUGCAUGACUGCAGAGGUUACUUGGAAUAGUUAAUGGAGUCAAUUAGAGCUACAGUCUCUUCUGUUGAGAUUCCCAUGCCCUCCUACUCCAUUUGCAUUACCAAGGGGGAUACAAGGGACUGUUAAUGUGCUUAAAUGCAAUGUCCUAGGAUCCCAUCCCCCACCUAACUCCCUUUUCCUGACUGCAGAUUACCUGGGAUGGUUCCUGUUCUUAAAAGUAGCUGGUUCCUUCUCUGAGUCUAGAUUUCCAUCCACUCCUACAUGGUUUGCAUUAACACAGGAUACAUAGACUGUUAAUGUGCUUAAAAGCAGCUACAAUCUCUUAUGUUAACACAGGAUUCUGUCCCCAGCUAACUAUUUCACGACUGCAGAGGGUAUUUGGGACUGGUAAUGCACUUACCUGCCUAUACAGUCUCAUCUGUUGGCCUACUUCCCCAUGAUCUCCUACUAAUUUGAAUUAUAAAACGGGGUAUGCUGCUAAGUCACUUCAGUCAUGUCCAACUCUGUGCAACCCCAGAGACAGCAGCCCACCAGGCUCCCCCGGCCCUGGGAUUCUCCAGGCAAGAACACGAGUGGGUUGCCAUUUCCUUCUCCAGUGCAUGAAAGUGAAAGUGAAGUUGCUCAGUCAUGUCGGACUCCUAGCGACCCCAUGGACUGCACCUACCAGGCUCCUCCGUCCAUGGGAUUUUCCAGGCAAGAGUACUGGAGUGGGUUGCCAUUGCCUUCUCCAAAAGAGGGUAGGGACUGUUAAUGUGCUUUACUGCAGCCACAGUCCCUUUUGUUAAUUUAGAAUCAUUUUUAUUCCUACUGGAUUUGUGUUACCACAUAAAGUAACUGGGACUGUUAAUGUGCUUAAAUCCAGCUACACUCCUUUCUAUUAAUCUAGGAUCCCAUCGUCACCUAACUCCCUUUGUAUUACUGAAGAGCCUACAGGGACUUGUUAAUGGGCUUAAAUGCACUGCUGUCCUUUCUGUUGAGUCUAGAACCCCAUUUCUCCUAGUCAAUUUGCAUUACCCCAGAGUGUACAAGAGACUUGCUGUGCUUAAAUGCAUCCACAGUCUGUUAUGUUUACCUGGGACUGACCCUAUUCCCACCUAAGUCUUUUUUAAUGAGAGGGUACUUGAGCUUAACUGGAGUUUCAGUCCCUUCUCUUAACCUAGGGUCAGUUUCUUUCUUACUGGAUUUGUAGUACCACAUAGAGUAACCAAGACUGUUAAGGUGCUUAAAUGCAUUUACAGUCUUUUAUACUUACCUGUGUUCGUUGCAUGACUGCAGAGGUUACUUGGAAUAGUUAAUGGAGUCAAUUAGAGCUACAGUCUCUUCUGUUGAGAUUCCCAUGCCCUCCUACUCCAUUUGCAUUACCAAGGGGGAUACAAGGGACUGUUAAUGUGCUUAAAUGCAAUGUCCUAGGAUCCCAUCCCCCACCUAACUCCCUUUUCCUGACUGCAGAUUACCUGGGACGGUUCCUGUUCUUGAAAGUAGCUGGUUCCUUCUCUGAGUCUAGAUUUCCAUCCACUCCUACGUGGUUUGCAUUAACACAGGAUACAUAGACUGUUAAUGUGCUUAAAAGCAGCUACAAUCUCUUAUGUUAACACAGGAUUCUGUCCCCAGCUAACUAUUUCAGGACUGCAGAGGGUGUUUGGGACUGGUAAUGCACUUACCUGCCUAUACAGCCUCAUCUGUUGGCCUACUUUCCCAAGAUCUCCUACUAAUUUGCAUUAUAAAGGAGGGUAUGCUGCUAAGUCACUUCAGUCGUGUCCAACUCUGUGUGAUCCCAGAGACAGCAGCCCACCAGGCUCCCCCAGCCCUGGGAUUCUCCAGGGAAGAACACUGGAGUGGGUUGCCAUUUCCUUUUCCAAUGCAUGAAAGUGAAAAGUGAAAGUGAAGUCACUCAGUCGUGUCUGACUCCUAGGGACUCCAUAGAGGGCAGCCUACCAGGCUCCUCUGUCCAUGAGGUUUUCCAGGGAAGGGUACUGGAGUGGGUUGCCAUUGCCUUCUCCAAAAGAGGGUAUAAGCGACUGUUAAUGUGCUUUACUGCAGCCACAGUCCCUUUUGUUAGUCUAGAAUCAUUUUCGUUCUUACUGGAUUUGUGUUACCACAUAAAGUAACUGGGACUGUUAAUGUGCUUAAAUCCAGCUACAGUCCUUGUUUUAAUGUAGGAUCCCAUUCCCACCUAAGUCCCUUUGUAUUACUGAAGAGCCUACAGGGACUUGUUAAUGGGCUUAAAUCCACUUCUGUCCUUUUGUUAUGUCUAGAAUCCCAUCUCUCCUACUCAAUUUCCCCAGAGUGUAGAAGAGACUGUUACUGUGCUUAAAUUCAUCCAGUCUGUUAUGUUUAUUUAUGACCCCAUUCCCAAUAGUUAGUGACUGUGUUGCACUAUCACAGAAAGUGGAAGGGACUUUACUGUGCUUGAAAACAACUGCAGUCGCUUAUGUUUAGCUAGGAGGCUAUCCCACCCAACUCCGUUUUAAUGACUGUAGAAUGUACUUGGGACUAUUGAUGGGCUUAACUGCAGCUACUGUCCCUUCUAUUAACCUAGCGUGAAUUUCUUUCUUACUCGGUUUUUAGUACCACAUAGAGUAACUGGGAUUGCUAAUAUGCUUAAAUGCCUCUACAGUCCCUUAUGUUAACCUAGAAUCCCAUUCCCACCUGACUCCCUUUUUUAUUGCUGCAGAGCCUACAGGGACUUAUUAAUAGAUUUAAUUACACUACUGUCUAUUCUGUUAGUCUAGAAUCCCAUUUCUCCUACUCAGUUUGCAUUGCCCCAGAGUGUACAAGAGACUGUUACUGUGCAUAAAUGCAUCCACAGUCUGUUGUUUCCCUGUGACCCCAUUCCCAACAGUCAGUGAGUGACUCCCUUGCACUACCACAGAAAGUAAAAGGUACUGGUACUGUGCUUAAAAGCAACUACAGUCCCUUUUGUUUACCUAGGACCCUAUCCCACCCAACACCCUUAUAAUGGCUGCAGAAGUUACUUGAGACUAUUAAUGGGCUUAACGGCAGCAUAGUUCCUUCUGUUAAUCUAAAAUCAGUUUCCUUCUUGCUGGAUUUGUAUUACUACAUAGAGGAACUGGGAUUGCUAAGGUGCUUAAAUGGAGCUACAGUCCUUUGUGCUAACCUAGGAUUCUGUCUCCAUCUAACUAGUUUUCAUGACUUCAGAGGGUACUUGGGACUGUUAUUGCACUUAUCUGCUUAAACAGUCUCAUCUGUUGGUCUAGAUUCCCAUUCUCUGCUACUCAGUUUGCAUCAUAAAAGAGGGUAUAAAGGACUGUUACAUUGCUUAAAUGCAGCUACAGUCCCUUUUAGUAAGGUGGGAUCCCAUUCCCACCUAAUUCCCUUUGCAGCAUCCCAGAGGCUCCCAGGGACUUUCAGUGUACAUAACUGCAGAUCCAGGCCCUUAUAUUAACCUUGGAUCCCAUUCCUACCUAAUUCCCUUUUUACCACUGCAGAAGGUGCUUGGGACUGUUGAUGCACUUCCUGCCUAUACAGUCUCCUCUGUUAGUUUAGAUUUCAAUGCCCUCCUAGUAAAUUUGCAUUAUAAAAGGAUACAAGGGACUGUUUAUGUACUUAAAUGUAGCUAUAGUCCCUUAUGUUAACCUAGAUCUCAUUCCCACCUAACUCCCUUUUCAUUACUGCAGAGCCUAUAUGGGACUUGUCAGUGUACUUAAUUGCACUGCCAUUCCUUCUAUUAUUCUAGGAGCCCAUCCCUCCUAGUGGAUUGACAUUAUCCCAGAGUGUUUGAAGAGGUUGUUACUGUGCUUAAAUGCAUCCACAGUCUAUGUUUACCUAUACCCCCAUUCCCACCUGACUCCCUUGCACUACCACAGAAGGUAAAAGGACUGGUACUGUGCUUAAAAGCAGCUACAAUCUCUUACGUUUACCUAGGACCCUAUUCCCACCUAACUCCCUUUUUUACUGCAGAGGGUACUUGGAACUGUUAAUGUGCUUUAUUGCAGCCACAGUCCCUUUUGUUAAUCUAGAAUCAUUUUCGUUCUUACUGGAUUUGUAUUACCAUAUAAAGUAACUUCGACUGUUAAUGUGCUUAAAUCCAGCUACAGUCUUUUCUAUUAAUCUAGGAUCCCAUUCCUAUCUAACUCCCUUUUCAUGACUGCAGAGGGUACUUGGGGCUGUUAAUGCAUUUACCUGCCUAUAUAGUCUCAUCUGUUGAUCUAGAUUCCCAUGCCCUGCUACUCAGUUUGCAUUGUGAAAGAGGAUACAAGGGACUGAUAUGGUGCUUAAAUGCAGCUACAGUCCCUUAUGUUAACCUGGGAUUCCAUUCCCACCUGACUUCAUUUUCAUUAAUGCAGAGCCUAUAUGCUGCUGCUGCUGCUAAGUCACUUCAGUCGUGUCCAUCUCUGUGCAACCCCAUAGACGGCAGCCCACCAGGCUCCCCCGUCCCUUGGAUUCUCCAGGCAAGAACACUGGAGUGGGUUGCCAUUUCCUUCUCCAAUGCAUGAAAGUGAAAAGUGAAAGUGAAGUCGCUCAGUCGUAUCCGACUCUUAGCGACCCCAUGGACUGCAGCCUACCAGGCUCCUCCGUCCAUGGGAUUUUCCAGGCAAGAGUACUGGAGUGGGUUGCCAUUGCCUUCUCCGGAGCCUAUAUGGGACUUGUCAAAAUGCUUAAUUGCACUGCUGUCACUUCUUAGUCUAGGAGCCUAUCCCUCCUACUCGAUUUGUAUUACCCUGGAGUGUAAAGACUUAACAUGGUUAAAUGCAUCUAUAGUCUCUUAGGUUUACCUAUGAUCCCAUUCCCAUUUAAAUCUUGUUGCAUGACUGCGGAGGUUACUUGGAAUAGUUAAUGGCCUCAAUGAGAGCUACUGUCCCUUCUGUUAGUUGAGAUUCCCAUGCCCUCCUACUCAAUUUGCAUUAGCAAGGGAGAUAUAAGGGACUGUUAAUGUGCCUAAAAGCAAUGACCUAGGAUCCCAUCCCCCAUCUAACUCCCUUUUCAUGACUGCAGAUUACUUGGGACUGCUACUGUGCUUAAAAGUCCCUAACAGUUCCUUCUGUUAGUCUAGAUUUCCAUCCACUCCUACAUGAUUUGCAUUAACACAGAGUGUUCAUAGACUGUUAAUGUGCUUAAAAGCAGCUACAGUCUUAUGAUAACCUAGGAUUCUGUCCCCAGCUAACUACUUUUUCAUGACUGCAGAGGAUAUUUGGGACUGGUAAUGCACUUACCUAUCUAUACAGUCUCAUCUGUUGGUCUACUUUCCCAUGCUCUCUGACUAAUUUGCAUUAUAAAAGAGGGUAUAAGGGACUGUUAAUGUGCUUUACUGCAGCCACAGCCUCUUAUGUUACCUAAGACUCUAUUCCCACCUAACUCCCUUUUAAUGACUGCAGAGGGUACUUGGAACUGUUAAUGAGCUUUACUGUAGCCACAGUCCCUUUUGUUAAUCUAGAAUUGUUUACAUUCUUAAUGGGUUUGUAUUACCACAUAAAGUAACUGGGACUGUUAAUGUGCUUAAAUAGAACUAUAGUCCUCUAUAUUAAUCUAGGAUCCCAUUCCCACCUAACUCUGUUUUCAUUAUUGCAGAGCCUACAGGGACUUGCUAAUGGGCUUAAAUGCACUGCUGUCCUUUUUGUUAAGUCUAGAAUCCCAUCUCUCCUACUCAACUUACAUUACCCCAGAGUGCACAAGAGACUGUUACUGUGCUUAAAUCCAGCCAGUCUGUUACGUUUGCCUAUAACCCCGUUCCCCAACAGUCAGUGACUCCCUUGCACUACCACAGAAAGUAGAAGGGACUGGUACUGUGCUUAAAAGCAAUUACAGUCCCUUAUGUUUACCUCGGACCCUAUCCCAUCCAACUCGCUUUUAAUGACUGCAGAAAGUACUUGGGACUGUUAAUGGGCUUUACUACAGUUACAGUUCCUUCUGUUAGUCUAGAUUCCCAUCCACUCCUACAUGAUUUGUAUUACUACUGACUGUACAAGAAACUCUUAAUGGGCCACAGUCCCCUCUGCUAUUCUGAAAUUUUUUACUUUUACUUGAUUUGCAUUACUGAAGAUGCUACAAGAAACUGUUAAUGUGCUUAAAUGGAGCUACAGAGUCUUACAUUUAUCUAAAAUCCUGUUCUCACCUCAUCCCCUUGACAUGAUUGUAGAGAGGACUUGGGACAGUUCAAGGGCUCAAUUAGAGCGAUAGCCCCUUCUGUUAGUCCCGAUUCCCAUGCCCUCAUACUUGAUUUGCCUUACCACAGUGAGUACAAUGGACUGUUGAUAUGCUUAAAAGGACCUACAGUCCCUCAGGUAACCUAAGAUCUCAUUUCCACCUAACUCCCUUUCCUGCCUACAGAGGGUAUUUGGGACUGUUAAUGAGGUAUACUGCAGCUGCAUUCCCUUCUGUUAUUGUACAUUCUUAUGCCCUCUCACACGAUUUGCAGUACCACAAAUUGUACAGUUUAGUUCAGUUCUGUCACUCAGUUGUGUCCAACUCUUUGUGACCCCAUGAAUCACAGCAUGCCAGGCCUCGCUGUCCAUCACCAACUCCUGGAGUUCAUGCAAACUCAUGUCCAUUUAGUCGGUGAUGCCAUCCAGCCAUCUCAUCCUCUGUCGUCCCCUUCUCCUCCUGCCCCCAAUCCCUCCCAGCAUCAGGGUCUUUUCCAAUGAGUCAACUCUUCGCAUGAGGUGGCCAAAGUAUUGGAGUUUCAGCUUCAGCAUCAGUCCUUCCAAUGAACACCCAGGACUGAUCUCCUUUAGGAUGGACUGGUUGGAUCUUGCAGUCCAAGGGACUCUCAAGAGUCUUUUCCAACACCACAGUUUAAAAGCAUCAGUUUUUAGGUACUCAGCUUUCUUCACAAAUUGUACAAGGGACUGUUAAAGGUGAUUAAAUGGAACAGCAGUUUCUUAUAUUAAUCUAAUAUCCUAUUCCCACCUAACUCUGUUUUCAUUAAUGUAGAGCCUACAUGGACUUGUUAAUGGGCUUAUUUGCACUGCCCUUCCUUCUGUUAGUCUAGAUUCCCAGGCCACCCUCGAUUUGCAUUACCAAAGAGGGUAUAAUGGACUCUUAAUAUGCUAAAAUGCUGCUACAGUCCCUUAUAUUAACUUAGGAUCUUAUCCUCAACUAAGGCUCUUUGCAGGAUUGCAGAGGAUGCUUGGGGCUGUUCAUGGCCUUAAAUACCACUACAUCCCUUAUGGUAACCUAGGAUCCCAUUCCCAACUAUUAAUAUCUUCCUUUUAAUUACUGCAGAGCCUACAUAGAACUUGUUAAUGAACUACCAUUGGUCCUUCCCUUUGUUUAGAUUCCCAUCUCCUAAAGAUUUACAUUACCACAGAGGAUACAAUGGACUGUUAAUGUGCCCAUACAGUUCUUUUUCCUCCGCCUCCUUUUUAAAACCCAGGAUCCUAUUCCCACCUAACGCCCUUUGCAUUACCAGUGACUGUACAAGUGCCUGCUAAUGUUUUAAAAUGCAAUUACAGUCCCUUAUGUUAACCUAGGAUCCCACCCCCAACUAAGUCCCUUUGCAUGAUUUUGGAGGAUACUUCGAACUAUUAAUGUGAUUCACUGCAGCUACAUUCCCUUAUCUCAUCUAGGAUCCAUUCUCUUCCUUCUUGAUUUGCAUAUCAGGGAGGAUAGAAGGGAUGGUUAAUGUACUUAAAUCGAGCUAUAGUCCCUUAUGAUAAUCAGGAUCCUAUUUCUACCUAACUUCCUUUGUAUUACUUCAGAGCAUACAUAGGACUUUUUAAUGGGCUUAAUUGCACUACUGUCCCUUCUUUUAGUCUAGAUCUCCAUCCUUCCUACUCCAUUUGCAUUAUCCCAAAGUGUACAAGUGACUGUUAUUGUACAUAAAGGCAGUUACAGUCCCAUGUUUUAGUCUAAGAUUCUCUCUCCCCCUUUAAUUCCCUCUACUGUAUCGAAGGGGAUACAAGGGACUGCUAAUGUGCUUAAAUGCUGCUUGCAGUCGUUUAUGUUACCUAGGAUCCCAUCCCCACCUAACUCACUUGUCAAAGAGGCUACAAGGGACUGUUGAUGUGUUUAAAUGCAGGUAUAGUGCCUUAACAUCGAAAUCCAUUCCUGCAUAACUCCUUUUUUCAGGACUACAGAUGGUAAUUGAGACUGAUAGUGAGCUUUAUUGCACUUACAGUCUCUCUUAGUCUAGGAUCCCAUUCUCUCCUACUAGAUUUACAUUACCACGACUGUACAAGGGACUUUUAAUGUGCUUAAAUGCAGCUGUAGUCCCUUAUGUUAACCUAGGAUCCUAUUCCCACCUAACUUCCUUUUCAUGACUGCAGAGGGUACUUAAGGACUGUUAAUGCAUUUACUUGCCUAUACAGUCUCAUCUGUUGAUCUAGAUUCCUAUGCCUUCCUACUCAAUUUGCAUUAUAAAAGAGGGUACAAGGGUCUAUUAACUUGCUUAAAUGCAGCUACAAGCCCUUACGUUAACCUAGGAUCCCAUUCCCACCUGACUCCGUUUGCAUCACCCCAGAGGCUACAAGGGACUUUCAAUGUGUUUGAAAGUGAAAGUGAAGUUGCUCAGUCGUGUCCUACUCUGCGACUCAUGGGCUGUAGUUGGCCGGGCUCCUCCCUCCAUGGGAUUUUCCAGGCAAGAAUACUGGACUUGGUUGCCAUUUCCUUCUCCAGGGGAUCUUCCUGACUCAGGGAUCAAACCCAGGUCUCCUGUAUUACAGGCAGACUUUACCAUCUGAGCCACCAGGGAAUCCCAAUGUGUUUAAAUGCAGGUAAAGUCCCUUAUGUUAAGUUCAAAGUCCAUUCCUACCUAACUGCCUUUUUAUCACUGCAGGGGGUACUUGGGACUGUUAAUGGGACUCUUCUUGCUUAUCCAAUCUCAUUCGUUGGUCUAGAUUCCCAUGCUCUUCUACUCAAUUUGCAUUAUAAAAGAGGGUACAAGGGACUGUUAAUGUGCUUAAAUGCAGCUACAGUCCUAGGAUCUCACCCCUCUCUACUCACUUGUGUUACUUGUUGGUAUUUGGGACAGAAAGGUGCUUAAAUGCAACUGUGGUCCAUUUUGUUAACCUAGGGUCCCAUGCCCUCUAACUCUUAACAUUACCUGGGAGUGUAUUGGGACUGUAGAACUGCUUAAUUGCAACUGUGGUCCCUUCUCUUAGUCUGGAGUCCAUGCUCUCCACAGUUUUGUUUAUAUUACCACAGAAGGUACUUGGAACCUGUGAAUGUGCCUAAAUGCAGAUGUGGUCCCUUUUGUUAGUUUAGGAUCCCAGGACUUCCUUUACAUUGUAUGUGAAGGCAUUUGGGACUGUCAAGGUGAUAAUUGCUGCUGUGUUCCCUUCUGUUGUCUAGGAUCCUGUUCCCUCCUACUUCCAGUUCCUUCGCAUUACAUGGAAGGGUGCUUAACUGUAGCUAUGGUCCCUUCUGUUAGCCUAGUUUCCAUUCCCUUUCUACUUCCUUUGCUUACCACAGAAGGUACUGACUAUUGUGGUGCAUCUUAUCCUCUCACAUUACACCUUAGGGUCCCGAACACUAAGGCCCCUCUUUUUGCACUUUUUAAUGUGCAGUGGCAUUUGUUCCUCUUCCUCUGCAGUGUAGACUCCACUCAUUUCCCUUGUAUUCAGUGGUGGAUGUCCUUUACUCAAGACCUUUGUACUAGAAUAAAGUGAACCACGACAAUUCACCACGAAAAUAUUCUUUCACUUCAGUCCCUUGUAGUCUGUUUUAUAUGAAUUACUGCCAUUACUUUUUUCUGGGAAUAUUUACAUGCAAAAUUCCAGUGUUUAAGGCCCUUCUAUUUUAAUUAAUAUUCCUCCCUUUUUGCGUUAUAUCAGGGGAUGUUAGUGACCCAAACUCUUUCUCUUGGGACUCAAUGUGCAUGUGCCCUCAUGACAAACUAACAUAUUGAAUUUUUAGUAUUAAAGCAGGGACUACUGACUAGUUUUUCUUUUGGACAGUUAAUGUGCAGAAUUAUACUAAGAACCCAUCCCAUUCCACCUCCUUUGCAUCAGGGGUCCUAAUCAACUGGCUGCUUCUUCCGUACAGUUUAAAUGUGCAUAAUUUCAGUAGUCCAUGCUCCCUAAUGUUAGACUAGGAUCCCAUAUCCUUGCCCCAUUUACAUUACUGCAGGGACUUCUGACUAGCUAAGAUUCACUGUCUUGGACUGUUAAUGUGUGUACUUAAUGUUUGCUCCUGUACCUGUACCUCAGGUAAGGACCCUCCCCAUUCUAUUUAUAUUUCAGCAGGAGAUGCCUACUAUUCAAGAUCUUACACACUAUUGCAGUUAAUGUGCACAAUCUUAGUUGUCUUGUACACAUUCUCAGUUGUCCACAGCUGUGCUUUUUAGAUCAGGGCCCUUUCACUUAUUGAAGCACAGGUUAACUUACCACCUUAAAGCCCUUGUUCUGGGACUAUGACUAUGUGUAAUUACACUAUGGUCUUCUGAGUUAACUUGUCUCCCUGACUCUUUUCAUCCCCUUUGCUUUACUGCAUGGGGUACUGUCCACUUAAGGCCCCUUUCUCAAAUAUGUGUAAUGACAAUUACAUUAUAGGGGCUUCAUACUUCCUUUAAGAUUCUUAUAUUUGUACAAGGUAUAUGAUUUUAAUUGACCACACCAUGUCCCUUCAACAUUAAUUUACAUAAUUGCAACUUAGUUCAUCUUAUCCUGUUGCCUUCCCUUUCCUUAGCUUGUGAAUGUACACUCUUGUGCACGAGACAAGGACCCUCCCCCUCACUUCCUAUGCCUUCCAGUAAGUUUGCCCAUUGCUAAGACCUUUCCAUUUGGACAAUUAAUGUGCAGAGUUGCACUUUCCCAUAACCCUAUUACUUCUAGGACUAUUGUAUCUCCUUUGUAAUAGUGCAAGGGAUACUGUUUCCCUGCCAAGAUCCCUUACUGUUAGUAUACGUAAUAGAAAUUCUUGUCUUUAUCAGUAUACUUUGAAAUACUCCCUCAGCCAGCUAUCAUGACCUCAGCUCUUGGACAAUUAAUAUGCACCAAUAAUACAUCAAGUGUAUGAUCUUUAGAUAAGAUCCCUGUACCCUCACUAUGGAUCAGGAGUACUGACUUAAGGCUUCUUUUUUUGACUCUGGGUGUGAAUAUUUGCAGUUAUCCAUACACCCUUCUAUUAGAGUAGGACAUCAUUCCCGCAUACCCCCUUUGCAUUACUUCAUGGGCUGCUGAUGACACAAAACUUUUACUGGGACUGCUGAUGAGCACAAUGGCAGUUGGCAAUGGGUUUUUCCUCCCUGGUCUUGUUAGGCAAGCACUCCCAGCUCCAAUUUCUCAUGGUAUAAUAAAGUAUAAACACUGCACUAUGCUGUGAACUUGUCCAUCAAAGGGCGACCCACAUUCCCACUCCUUUUGCGCUGGCUCCAGUGUAUCAAAUCCCAAGUAAUCAUGGCCUUUCCCUUAUCUUCCCUCUUCAAACCCCUUGUCUGCCCUUGGACCCUUCUUAUGGAUUUUUAAUAUUCACAAUUUCAGGUGUCCAUCCAUCCAGAUAAGAUUAUGCUCCCUCACCCCUCCCACCCCUGCCCUGCCCCUUUUGCAUUGUUGCUGGGAAAUGUUGACUGAGCAAAACUCCUUCCUCUUGGAUUUACAAUGUUAACAGUCCCAGAUGUCAUUGUUUUGCCCGCUUUGAAUUUCUAUAAUUCCCUGUUGCACUUCCCUUGGUCCCACCCAUCAGGCACGGACUCUUCCACUUCCUUCUUUGCAUUACUUCUGAGUAGUGCUUACCACCACAGCCCCUUCUGUGUUAUUAACACAGUAUUGAUUGUCCCAUUUUUAAGCCCAUCAGCCCAAGAUCUCUCUACCAUUUUGAUGUUAUAUUUGUGCAGUAUGGACUACCAAAAGCAGGCCAGAACUAGGUGACUGGGCCUUUACUCCUUUUCCUGCAUUUGUUAAUGAUCCCAGUUCCGAUUAUUGUCAUAUUCUGGGGACAGAACCAUUCCUGAUCCCCUCUGUUACUGCUUUACUAGGCAAAAUGCUCAAGGCAAGUCAGACCCAAGGGAACUGGAUUGCUACCCUUUAUUUGGGGUUUUCAUUAUAUAUAAGUAUCAUUUGAAAAUUGACUUCCCAGGAAGGAAGGUUAUCACUAUCUGUGCAUUCUUCCUUUCAAAGCAGAUUGCCUGGCUAUGUCUCUCCUUUCCUUUUGUAUAUUGCCAUUGUAUAGUGCCAAUUGCCAGGAUACAACCAAAAAGUUUUUAUUUUUUAUUUUUUAAGAAAGACAUCUGGAUUGCAGGGUGGAAUUGAUAACCUGGUCAUUGAAAUUUUGAAGUCGGUAAACCCAUUUAUAUCAUGUACCUGAUGACCAGUGUCUCUCAUUUUACUAAGGGUGGUGAGUCUGUGGAUAGACCACUGUGACUUUGAUAUUAUAAUAUAUUACUAAAGGAGUUCUAGAGUGGAACUCUUAAGACCAGUAUCUUCGGGCUCUACCACCAUUUUCAAACCACUUCUUGUUUGGGCUUUACCAGUAUUCACUUCUAGGAAAAACUAUCUAAACUUCCUAAUCAUUAAAUUUCUUCAUCUGGAGUUCCAACUAGGCCAUACUUAUUUCAAGAAGAUUGCUGUAAAAGGAUAAAAUGAGAGAACAUGCUGAGGUGCUUUUGAAAACCAUAGAUCACUUUGUUUGAUUAAUCUAUUACAUUUUAUGUACCCUGUUUAAUUCUGCUAUUUUUAAAGUUACCUAAAGCACCACACUGAAGUGAGGACUUAGAAACAAUGGAACCAGUUUUCCCAUUUUAUAUGAAAAGAAAAAUAAGCCAAGGUCUAAUCAGUCUUUUGGAUAUAAAUUUCAAUAGUGAAAAUGAAUACAAUGAAUAAUAUCUCAGCCUCUAGUGUACAAGGUGUUUGGCAGAGAAGUAUUUAAUAUGGAACUGCUGAAGCCAGUAACUAAUUAUCACCACAGCAGUUCUUUCUAGUCACUGAAAAAGGAUACUGUUGUCUGAGAAGGAUGUCAAAAGAUCGGCCCAGCUCAGGGUGCAGUUUGCACUACUAGCUCCUUGGACAGCUGUAAGAAGAGUCUCUGGCUCUUUAGAAUGCUGGAUGAAUUCUGAGCUGGUUCCCCCCCACUCAAGAGGAAGGAUGGAUCAAGUUUAGGUGGAGUGAAGGCUGCACUGGACAGCAUCCAAAGGACAUUCCAAGCAUAUCAGACCUGAAGACUGCAAGCAACUUUAAGAAGCUCCAUAUUCAGCAGGGCUUUCCUUUUGAGAAUCUGAAUAAGCUCCAAGCAAUCUAAUAGGAUGGCUUGCAGUUUCCCUGGAGAAAAAGAUUUACCUCAAAAGAAUAGGCCUGUUGCUUUACAGUGUUAGUGACCCAUUCCCUUUGACGAUUCCUAGGUGGAGAUGGGGCAUGAGGAUCCUCCAGGGGAAAGAUUCACUACCACUGAGCAACAACUCUAGGCCAGGAGGUUAUACCAAGAUUCUUUCCUGGGCCCAGUUAAGAAGGUGAAGUCUCAAGACAACCACCACACAUCCAGAGCUCCUGGUUGUUCCCUUCAUAUUUGCCAAAUCAUUAUCUUUCCCUGAAGCAGUGCAAAGAGCAAGAAAUGUGAACACACCAAGGAAGAUCAACGUGCCUGGCAUGCUAGCAUUUUAGAAUAGCAGAAUGAAUGUGUAUUUGUUUGCUUGUCUAUUUCUUCUUUGAAUGUUUUUGGUCUUUCUUGUCUAAAGUAUGUCUUACCCAUUUCCAUGAUUCUCUUGCUCGUUUCUUCUCUGUGUAUCUUUGUCUCAUUUACUUUUUUGUACCCAGGAGUGGUCUGUGUCUUGUCUUGAAUGUCUCUCUCUAGUCUUCUUCAUUUUGUUGCUGAUUCUACUUGCUCUGCUAGAUCUAGCUCUUCUUUCACUGUUCUCUUUGAGCCUCUUGAGUUAUGUGUGCCUUGUGCUCAUUUCUUGCUACGCCUGCCUCUCUUCUUUUUCUCUUUGUGAACUCUGUCACCCAUUCCCCUUGUUGGUUUGACAUUUUACCUUUUCUGAUACUGGCUACCCUUCUGCUGUUUCUACUCUUUAUCGUGCAUAUUUCUCUUUUCUACAUAUUCUUUGUGCCUUUCUUGGGCCAUUUUCUCUUUUUUUCCCCAUGCUUUGUGUGCCCCAGUGUCUCUUUGUUCUUUGUGGUUUUCAGUUUCAGCAUUCAUCUCUGUUCUCUUGGUUCUUCUCUCGUUUUGCCUUUCUAUUCACUUUUGAGUAUUUCUUUAGUCUAUGUCUCCCCCUCUUCGAUUUCAUGCAAUUCUCUCUCCUUGCAUAUUUUUUGUGCUUGUGUGUGUGUGUGUGCUCUUUUGUGUGUUUGUAAAGGCGCCUCCUAACUGCUUCCAGUAGGUGCAGAGUGUCAGCUAUCAAAAUAAGCAUUGCAGAGCUGUUCCUUAUGCCAGGCCACCCUGUGAGAUGAACCAAAACCAACAGAAGGUCCAAGGGUCUAGACUGGAGUUGGAUAGAAGACUCAAGUCUCAGUGAGACAGAAGGCCAAAGACCCAGGAUGGGAUUAAAAAAACCUGUCUUGAAGACCUGUGACCCAAAAGAUGGAAGUGCCCUAGCACGCAUAAAGACCCAGGACUCAAACCUAUCUAUAUAAGACAGAAGGCCCAAGAGAGACAGAUAUUUCAAGACUAAAUUAGAUGGAAACUGGAGGUUCAUGACAGAGAUACCAGGAAAGAAAGAAGCCCCAGGACCAAAGGAAAUUCCAAGAUGAGACUCUUAAACCCCAGCUCUUUUUUAUUGCUAACCCUACUCUUGGACAUUUUGAGUUCUCCCUUCCUUCUUCUCAUGUCUCCAUUUAUAUCUACUUCUUUUGAGAUGUCCUUUUUGAUGUUGCUGUUACCUUUAAAAAAAAACAUAUCUUUAGAUCAGUAAUAUUAUGCUUUGGCCUGUUUUUAUUACAGUUUUGAGCCACUUAUUAAGUUUUUGAAGUUUUAAACUUCCAUUUCUCUUCGCCUCUCCACUUGUGAGGGACACAUAGCUGACAUUAUAUUUCAGUCCCCUCUUUCCUCAGAAGCUCUAGGCUAAUGAGAGAAGGAAAGUAUCAGGUUCAGUUAUUGAGGGGAAACAAAGUGCCAAGCUAAGUAGAGAAAAUGUGAAGAGAUGCUCCACAGGCCAAUGAGAAUUAGACAAGAAAUACACAGAUGUGCCAGUUUGCUGAGAAGUGUGAGCCAGCAACAUGUUACUUAUUUGAGCUUGGGUGAGCAGGACACCUGAGGUUUGGGAUUCUUAUUGAUGGUUAUGAAGGAGGAUUGGGCCUAACACAUAAUGAGGCCCCAAGGAAGGAGUGUGAACUCCCUGCUCAUAGUAGUGGCCUAAUAAUGUGGUAAGCUGCAUAAGUUUUAUGCCUCGGUUUAAUACCCACCUCUAGGCCUAAAGGUGAGAAAAUUUGGGAAUAUUUAGCAGGUUUAAUCCUUUCAUUGAUUUUUUUCCUUUUACCAUAAGGAAAGUUAAUUUUAGUGAUAAUAUAUAUGAAAGCACUGUAAAACACAAAAAAAGCAAGACAUUCUCAUUAAUAAUGUAUUGGCACUCAUGCAUAGCUAACAUUUGAAAAUGCAUUGUCAGUUGUGAAGCAUUAUGUAAAUCAAGGGUUAUCACACCCUUUUUGUAAAGGGUCAGAUGGCAAUUAUUUUAUACUUUGCAGGCCAUAUGGUCUCUCUCUGCUUUUUUUUCGUUUAAAGUGAAUAUGGUCUGUGGGCCACAGUUUAUCACCCCUGAUGUAAUUUGCCAGGGACUGUGUGCUGAAUGAUAUUAAUUUCUUUCUUUGUGCCUGUCCCUGUAUGCAUUAAGGAUGCAAUGAUUACUUAUGGUCAUAUCCAGGUGAUAUGAAGAAAAAUAUAUGAAUGUGAGUUAUAAACUAUUAUGCACUUUAAAAGCUUGUCGCAACUUUCAGAGUUGAUGAAUGAAUAUUACAUGGUAUAUACAUUUCUAGGCACUGUAUAUACAAAGAACAAAAGUGUGAAUAAAGUACUUUCUCAAAAGUAUGAAAUACUGUACAGAUAUUAGGAAUUAAGUCUAUGAUAAAUGAGUAAUUCAUGUAUUUGUGGCCAUUGUGUUUCUGUGGCUCUGAUGAUUUUGAGUAAAGAUGUAGUAUUCCAAGUCACAGAAAAGAAAACAUUGUUCAGUUGCUAAGUCGUGUCUGACGCUUUGUGACCCCAUGAAUUGCAGCAUGCCAGGCUUCCAAAUCCUUAAACUAUAAAGUAUACUGCAAACACAAGGGAUUUAAGCUAUUGUGAUUACUUAUAAUGUGCCAGAUAACAUCCUGGGCACUACAGAUGUCAAAGGAAAAAAAAUGUUGUUAUUAUAGAAUGAUUAAAAAUUUUAGAUUUUAAAGUGCUUUGUACUAAAGCACUGUAUAAAUACCAAUGGGCUAUAUGUUUAUGAAUGAAUGAAUAAGUAUUAAUUUCCUUAUAUAUGCCAGCUAUUGUUUCAGGUACUGUGAAAUCCAAGACAAUGCUCCCAAGUAAUAAGAGGGAUGUUUAUGUCCUAUACUACUUAGACAUAAGGAAUUAGAUAUUACUUAUUUUAAUCAAUAAAGACUUUACUGAUGAUGUUGAGCUAAAUUAUUACCAGUAUAUUUUCCAAGGUAACAGGAAAAUGUAAUGAAUGAGAUUGAGCUUUCUAACUAUAAAAUGCUACAUAAAUAUAAAACAUUAGGUGUUUUCUUUGUGAACAAAACUUAUGUUGAGACAGACAUUUGUUUGUGUGUGUUAGUCAUUCAAUCAUGUCUGACUCUUGUGACCCCAUGGACUGUAACCCACCAGACUCCUCUCUCCGUGGAUUUCUCCACACAAGAAUACUGAAGUGGGUUGUCAUUCCCUUCUCUAGGGGAUAUUCUUGACCCAGAAACUGAACUCAGGUCUCCUGCACUGCAGGCAGAUUCUUUACCAUCUAAGCUAUAGAUGCUCAUUGUGUGCUUGACCCACUAUGAGAAAGGUAGUAUAAAUCUCUCAGUAUACAAACUGAGAGUUUAAAUACUUGGUAAAUGAAUGGGUCAUUAAUAUUAGUUGCCUACUAUGUGAACUCACUGUUAUAGGCACUAAAGAGACACACAAAUUUAUUAUUUUAUUGUGCCUACAGCUGAGAAUAGGCAAUACACAUGUUAAUAUUUUGUGAACUCUAAAAGCACCAUAUAAGUGUAACUAUUGAUUUCCUCAGUUGGUAUGCCUAAUACUAGGCUUGCAAAAUUGUUUCAUAGUUAUUAUACCGUGAAAAAAGUCAGAAAAAAUUUGAGCAAGGAUUGUUAAUUAUUGAACACUUCAAAUAUGAUACAUAAAGGACUAAAUGUCUGAUGAAUGCAAGACUGGAUGAUAAUUAUGUGCCAGUCUCCUUGAUAAGCAUAAGAGAUAUGAAGAUAAUCCAUCUUUACUGUGUUCUGGGCAGCAGAAUGUAAUAUAUAAAAUCAAUUUGUAGGUCUUAAACUGGCAUACAUAUAUAAGCCAUAUCUGCUGAAUGAACACUGAUUACUUACUCUCUCUUAUUCCGAGAGAGAGCAACUAAGGAUGCAAAAAUUCAUUGUCAUUAUUGUUGAACCUGCAACAGAGAUCUGUGUAAAUUUUACAAAGCUUACUGUUCUAUACAGAUCUAAAGAAUUAACUGUUGACUUAAUGAAUGGUUACUGAUUACUUUCUAUCUAUAAAGCUCGGAACUGUGUAUGCUCUAGGAUAUAAAAAUGACUCUCCUUAUCAGAUGGUGUAAAUAACAUGUGUGGGAAUCCAGACUAAAAGUUGCUUAACCAUUGCUCAGCUUAUUUGAUGAUAAAAAUAUGGGCAGAAUGGAAUUGUGCAAGGCAGUAUGCUGAAUGCUGAGCUAGGUGGAAAGAUAAAAUCCAGACCAGAAGGCCACUUGCUCCCUGGCUUGACUGAAGGAAUGGAAUUUUUUUGUUUCUUUGUUUAAAGAGCAAGAUGUUAUCAUUCUCCAUUGGUCUUUUAAAUGCUGAAGAUGGAGGUGAAUUCAGUCCACUCUGGCCUGGCAUAGAGACACUGAAAGAGUAAAAAAUGGUUCAGGUUGGCUUUUAGAUUAAUUUGAUGAACAGUGUCUUUUAUGUAAAAUACAUCAUUCUAGGUCCUGAGCAUAAGAGAUAUGAAAUGGGCCUAGUCUAAAGGGCUUUAGAUAGAUCAAAGAUCAUAACUGAAGAUCCAAAAACAUAUUUGAGUUUUGAGUAAAUAUUUGAGUUCCCGUUCCCUAGAUCCUAUUCCUGUUCCUUGAAUUCUUGUUCCUAUUUUCUUGGUUAAGUCUGGUCCAGAAAACCUAUUGACUUUCCUUGGAAACUUAAAAAAUAGAAAAAAAAAUAUUGUUCUUUCAAUGUAAAAUGAAGAUAUAUUUCUUGGCUCUAGAAAGUAUCAAUGUCAUGUGCUCAUUGACCUAGAUUGAAGCCAGAAGAUUAAUAAAAGGCCUCAGAGUUUGUCCUUUAAUUCAUUAAUAUUCUGUUUUUAUUAUAGUUAAAUGGGUAAGAUGACAAUUAGGAUUAUUAUGGCAUAGAGUCAGGAAGAUGAUAAAAAAGAUCCUUCCUAGAUUUUCCAUAUUUUGUAAAUUAUUCACUUGAAUGAAGUACUGUUCUUAAGUCCUGAGGAGAAUGAAGAGAUUUAAAUGACCUAGACCAAAAUAUACUUUAAUUUCACUAGUUCAUGGAGGACACACAAGAACAAAUUUAAUAGGAGAUUGCAAUUCUUUCAUUAGUUGGAAAAACUAAAGUAGCUGUGAUGUUAAGAUACUGAGAUGGAAUGAUUAAACAGAUCACCUUCUCUUUGGCAUGUUUUGUAGAGAAGGAAUAAAAAAGCUUUUCAGUUAUUCAUACAAGCAUUGAAGAAGGUGAUGCUAAAUGAAAUAGAUCUGGUAAAAAGGUAAUUGUCUUGGAGAUGCAGUUAAAAAAACAUGAAAUGGAGUGAAACUUCAUUGAAUGAGUGUCUAUUUCAAGGCAUUGUGCUAAUUCCUAGACAGAAAACAAAAUAGAUUUUGACUGAAAGACACUUACUUGACUUGGAAACUGGUAUAUAAGAGAAAAGGUUAUUGUUAAUUAAUUUUUAAAAUUUAUUCAUUCAUUCUGCAAGUAUGUUUGAGUGCCUAUUGUAAAUAAGCUCCUUAGCUGGAUUCUAGCUGGGUUCUCUAGCUAGCCCCCAGAGAGAGACAUGAGAAAAUGAAUGCCUUCCCAGAGAACUUAAAAUUUGCCCUUUGGCCUGUUUUCUGAUCAGGCCAUUUCUAAAUGGCUUACUUCCUCAAUAAUAUUAUGUGGUUUAAUUUCUACUCCAUCUUAAGCCACUCUGGCCACUACAAUAAGCAGGGGUUUUUACUGAACUUGCUCCUUCAGUUGCAGGAUCCUUCCUUAUAAUAAAACACUUCAGUUUUCCUAACCCAUCCCUCAUGAAAACUGGUUGUGACCAUAGUGAGCCGAAAGAGGGAUGAGAAGCAACUGAUUCCCAAACUUCAGUCUCGUUGGUACCAACACUGAAGAACCACUCAUACUCAAAUCACAAUUGGUUUUGAAACACACUUACAGUUUUGUCUAUGACAAAUAUACACUGCAUAAGUCUUUUUAAAAAACAAUCCUCCAAUAUUACUUAGCAAGUUUGGAGAUGGAGACAUGAUUUGUGUUUUGCAACAACAGCUUCUCAACUAACAACUUAGAAAUCUUUCCUUUUUCACCAUCAAAACCUGCUUAAGAUAAGCCUUGAAAAUAGCCUAACAAUUUUACCAUGCUUAAGUCUUAAGAAUAAUAGAAAUUGAAAGUAUUUGGCAAAUAUUGGAGGGAAAAAAAAAUCUACAUAUAGGCCCAAAUGGGCUUUGGCCUUUUCUAUUUUUAAAUCACUCACAGAGGGUGGGAUAGGAGGAAGAGUGAAAGAAAAGGUCAAGCCUGAUUCUAAAAAGGGUUGGUCUUAAAAGCAUUGCUACCUCCAGAUCUAACUUGGGGAUUGCUGUUCUUAGUGUAAUUCAAUUUUAAUAACUGGUCACUGUUAAGAUGAGGACAAAGUCCUUUGUCCCUACUCAUUUCUAAAAGUUUGGCUUAAUGGCUAUCAGUUAAGCCUGGGGUUAUAUAAUUAUGGAAUUUAUUAAAUCUAUGUGACCUCUCCAUCAUAAGGUAGUCUUAAAGCUAAAGUCAGUCCACUACAUAGAAAGAGGACUUUAUCAUUCACUGUAAUUCAUACAUACUUUCAAAGCAUCUAAACUUUAAAGUUUACAUGGCAAGACAACAAUACCAUCUGUAAAUAUAGAAGGAAAUAGAAGAAUGGCAGGAGAUAGUUGAUGGAGGUAGCGAAUUUGAAGGUCAUUUGCGGUAAUGUUUGUAGUUUUUCCUUUGUACAUUUUUACUUAGGUGUAAGGUGUAUCUGAUAUUAAUAAUGUUUGUUGUUUAAUAUGUACUAUUAGCUGGACUCAGUAACUCCCCUUUCUCCAGGUAGGGAUGAGAGAUGCAUUAUUGGAAAGGAGAAAGUAACAGUCUUCGUUUCACAGUUUCUGGCAUCCCAAGGCCACCACUACUGAUAAACAAGAAUAACAGAACAUUCUGUCACCUGAUUUUUGUGGCAUAAAUGAAAUUGUGAACAAAUUUUUUUCUUAAGAAGAAGAAAUGGCUUUACAUCUACCCUUUUACCUUAAAAGGAUCUGUGCCAAAAUGCUCUGAUGAAUGGAAGACACACUUGGACUUGUGAACUGAUUUGAAACACAUAAUAUCUAAGCCUUGGUUGUUUUGAAGAUUGAAAAGUCUUGUUCAGUUCGGAUAACCACCAAAAAAGCAACCUAAAGCUGUCUAUAUGUCACAACUGAGACAAAUUGGGGAGUUUGUUUAAUGUCAAAUAAAAAUGUACUGUUUUGAAAGCUUUGUUUUUGAUGCUAAAACAAGUUCUACCUCACUGUCCUUUCCUAAUCACACUAGUUACCUCAGUUUUUGAAAAAGGUUGUCUUAACCACCCAGCUUGGGUAAGUGACUUGAGGUCUCAUUUUUUCCUCCUAGCUUCAGUUGCUUUGCUUAGAAAUGCUGAGCAGCACAUAGCCAAUUUUAAAGAUGUGUGAAGCAAAAAAAUUAUUGAAGAACAAGGGUGGGAUAGGAAUAGGGCAUAGAAAAUUUAAGGCUGUGGAAAGUAGGAUGUAUCCAGGAAGGUAAUCACUGUAAUGAAAGUAACAGGUCCAGUCCUUGAGUAGCUGAAGGGAUCUUUGAUGUUCUUAAAAUUAAAUACCCAAAUGUUAGAUUGGUGACUUCAUAGGCAGAUGACCCCAUGCAGUGUUUAUAGGCAAGAGUUUCUACUCCUUGGCAUCUUAUGCCAUUCUUAAUUUGGCUAGAGACAGUGCUCAGCUCCCUCUAACAAAUGUCAAUCACCACAAUUUUUCCCCCAUCAAAGGUUUUUUUUUUUUUUCCCCAGAUUUUUUUUUUUUUUUAAACAUGUCCAUCUUUGGAAUAAGACUUGCUGGAAUAAUGGCCAAUGUAGAGGAAAUAAACCUGUAAUGGAAGUCACAGAAGAGGCUGCAGGAUUUAGGAUAGUAUAGCACAGAAGGAAUUUGUUAUCAGGCAGGGGCUCUCAUAUCCUAGAGUUACAAAACAAAUGUUAAUCUGGUGGGGAGGACAGUCUGCACAUUUACCUGAUGGGCUGAUCGAUCAGAUACCAGUGCCCUUUAGUUGCUUCUGUGAUCCUUGCCUAUAUUCUAGUCCUUUGUCAUCUUAGUGUUUGCAUCUGUUCUGUCAAGUGCUCUCUAUUUCCUAAUGUCUCUGAAACAUCACAUUCUCACGUUUAUUAAAUUAGUCUGUGAUGUGAUUUCCAAGGUACUGCUACUGCUACUGCUAAGUCACUUUAGUCGUGUCUGACUCUGCAACCCCAUAGACGGCAGCCCACCAGGCUCCCCUGUCCCUGGGAUUCUCCAGGCAAGAACACUGGAGUGGGUUGCCAUUUCCUUCUCCAAUGCAUGAAAGUGAAAAGUGAAAGUGAAGUCGCUCAGUCGUGUCCGACUCAGUGACACCAUGGACUGCAGCCCACCAGGCUCCUCUGCCCAUAGGAUUUUCCAGGCAAGAGUAAUGGAGUGGGGUGCCAUUGCCUUCUCAAGCCUGUAUCUCCCUUUAUUGGUAGGUGAUGUCUGAUGUUCCAUUAUCUGGAGUUGAGUUUCUGAUUCUUUAAUAUAUGAUAAAGCAAGGACCGUUUUUCUUUUUUUAUCUACACAGAAACAACAGUGCCUUGCCCAUAUGAGAUACUCAACACAUACCUAUUGAAUUAUACUUAAACUUUAGGACCCUCUAGGAGAGUAAACAUGACAUUCUAUACCUAACGCAAGUACAACUAAUAACAUCUCUCCUAAUCCAUAGCAGAUGGUAUUAAAAGAAUCCUAAUAUUCCUUCUAUGCCUAGUCCCAGGAGACUGCUGGUUGCCCAUCAAAAUAUAUUCUCCCCUUGUUUAACAUGUGGCUGCUAAGCUAGACUACGUUUCCCCCCUUCCUUUGUAGUUAUGUGUUGCCAGAUGAUUAUAAGCAAUGAAAAGUGAAUGAAAAUGAUAGGUGCCAUUUAUGGGCCUGGUUUAAGGUAUGUUCCCCUCUACCUUCUCACCACCUACAAACUAGACAAUGGCUAUCCACCUUCAACCUUUUAGAUGAUAAAUCAUUCCUUAUGAGAUGGAAGUACAAUGACUUGAGAAAAAAGGAAGUUGCCCUUCUGCUCUGAACUUUUAAAAUUGAAAUGGUCAUGUCUCAAUGACAGGAAAUAAUAUUUAUUUAAACAUUGAAUUGUUGAUUUUCAUUCUUACAGUAGUCUAUUCUUUUCUCCAUAACUCAAAACAACUGGAUGCAGGAACACAAUCCUUUACACAGCAUUUCAUAUAAUUGCUACUAGUAAUAAACUUUCAGUUAUGACCUCAAAAAAGUUUCUCUUUUGUCCCACACCCUACUGUCUUUAAGAUAUGUAAGAUUUUAGUUGUGCUGUUGAGGCCUACUACUAAGUUUUCCACUUUGUUUCCCAACAAAAUUAGUAAUGUCAGAACUCAGCUAUGGUAACUUUUACAGGUUAUAGAUCUACCAUCAAGUUGUUGUCCAGGAUAUGCAAAGGGGAAGCAAAUGGUUUUAAGUUCAUCAAGCCAUAGACUUGGUACUGCUUAACAUAAUUAAGCCUUCCAAAUGUCUUCAGUAAGUCCAUAAUUAAAACAGUCAGAUGGAUCAUCACCUUCAAAUAAACAAAGCCAAAAGGGAAAAGGAGGCUGAGUAGUACAUUUAAGAAAUGUUUAUUUAAUCCUUACUGUUAGUGUUAGGCACAGGUAAAUAAAACUUUAAUAGACAUUGUCCCUGACCAAAGGUAACUUAAAAUCUAUUACAGGAGACCAGACAAGAGCCAAGGAAAUCUAAACAUAGUUAUACAUUGUGAUAAGAACAUUAAUAAGAAAUAGGAUGCAGUGAUAAGUGAGGGGGCAUAUUUACUUUAGAAAGGGUGGUUGAGAAGGAAUAUAUGAAAAGAUCAUACUUAAACCUCAGGAUAAAGAAGUCAAUCCAAAGGAAAUGGAUUGUACUUGCCAUGUAAGGUAAGUAAACUACAGCCAGCAAACUACAGGUCAUGGGUCAAAUCUGAUCUGUUUUAUA
ensembl:lncRNA